GUGGGGAAUCUUGCGCAAUGGGCGAAAGCCUGACGCAGCCAUGCCGCGUGAAUGAUGAAGGUCUUAGGAUUGUAAAAUUCUUUCACCGGGGACGAUAAUGACGGUACCCGGAGAAGAAGCUCCGACUAACUUCGUGCCAGCAGCCGCGGUAAUACGAAGGGGGCUAGCGUUGCUCGGAAUUACUGGGCGUAAAGGGCGCGUAGGCGGACAGCUUAGUCAGAGGUGAAAGCCCAGGGCUCAACCUUGGAAUUGCCUUUGAUACUGGCUGUCUUGAGUUUGGGAGAGGUGAGUGGAACUCCGAGUGUAGAGGUGAAAUUCGUAGAUAUUCGGAAGAACACCAGUGGCGAAGGCGACUCACUGGCCCAAUACUGACGCUGAGGCGCGAAAGCGUGGGGAGCAAACAGGAUUAGAUACCCCGGUAGUCC
rnacentral:rRNA from 1 species